AUAUUGGUGGUUCAGUAGCAGAAUUCUCACCUUGCACAUGGGAGACCAGGGUUUGAUUCCCAGUCAAUGCG
rnacentral:tRNA from 1 species